rnacentral:misc_RNA from 1 species
ACAUUUGGUGCAGUGGUUUAGCCCUACACCUUGCUAAACAUGGGAUUAAACACUCUCUAGCACUUGUAUUAAGGCAGUGAAUUGUAUUUAUUUAAACUUUUGAAGCCCACAUACGUAUCUUGUUGGUGUUCAAUUCACAGAAGUUCUGAGGCGCCAUAAUUUUUUUUUCCGUUUUUAAUUGAAUUUGUAUAUUAAUAGUGCAUCCUAGCGAUAUUUGGAAGCAAUUUUAUUUCUUAUAGUGGUUAUUCUUCAUGUUCUCUUCCCAUAUCUGAUAUCUAA